rnacentral:tRNA from 2 species
AAUAAAGUGCCUGAUUAAAGGAUAACUUUGAUAGAGUUAAUAAUGUGACGCCACCCACCUUUAUUA